rnacentral:rRNA from 1 species
GACGAACGCUGGCGGCGUGCCUAAUACAUGCAAGUCGAACGAACUCUGGUAUUGAUUGGUGCUUGCAUCAUGAUUUACAUUUGAGUGAGUGGCGAACUGGUGAGUAACACGUGGGAAACCUGCCCAGAAGCGGGGGAUAACACCUGGAAACAGAUGCUAAUACCGCAUAACAACUUGGACCGCAUGGUCCAAGUUUGAAAGAUGGCUUGGCUAU